AGCGAACGCUGGCGGCAGGCCUAACACAUGCAAGUCGAACGAACCUUUCGGGGUUAGUGGCGGACGGGUGAGUAACACGUGGGAACGUGCCUUUAGGUUCGGAAUAACUCAGGGAAACUUGUGCUAAUACCGAAUGUGCCCUUCGGGGGAAAGAUUAAUCGCCUUUAGAGCGGCCCGCGUCUGAUUAGCUAGUUGGUUGAGGUAAUGGCUCACCAAGGCGACGAUCAGUAGCUGGUCUGAGAGGAUGAUCAGCCACAUUGGGACUGAGACACGGCCCAAACUCCUACGGGAGGCAGCAGUGGGGAAUCUUGCGCAAUGGGCGAAAGCCUGACGCAGCCAUGCCGCGUGAAGGAUGAAGGUCUGAGGAUUGUAAAAUUCUUUCACCGGGGACGAUAAUGACGGUACCCGGAGAAGAAGCCCCGGCUAACUUCG
rnacentral:rRNA from 1 species